rnacentral:rRNA from 1 species
UACAGAGGUGCCAAGCGUUAGGCGGAAUCACUGGGCUUAAAGCGCGUGUAGGCGGGUCGUUAAGUGUCCGAGUGAAAUCCCACGGCUCAACCGUGGAACUGCCGGGCAUACUGGCGAUCUUGAGGCAUUCAGGGGCGAGCGGAACAAAUGGUGGAGCGGUGAAAUGCGUAGAUAUCAUUUGGAACGCCAAUGGUGAAAACAGCUCGCUGGGAAUGAUCUGACGCUGAGGCACGAAAGCCAGGGGAGCAAACGGG